CAGUCGCCACGGUAACACGAAGGGGGCUAGCGUUGUUCGGAUUUACUGGGCGUAAAGGGCGCGUAGGCGGACUGAUAAGUCAGGGGUGAAAUCCCAAGGCUCAACCUUGGAACUGCCUUUGAUACUGUUUGUCUUGAGUUCGAGAGAGGUAAGUGGAACUGCGAGUGUAGAGGUGAAAUUCGUAGAUAUUCGCAAGAACACCAGUGGCGAAGGCGGCUUACUGGCUCGAAACUGACGCUGAGGCGCGAAAGCGUGGGGAGCAAACAGGAUUAGAUACCCCGGUAGUCCCUGUCUCUUAUAC
rnacentral:rRNA from 1 species